GAUGAACGCUGGCGGCGUGCCUAAUACAUGCAAGUCGAGCGAACCACUUCGGUGGUGAGCGGCGAACGGGUGAGUAACACGUAGGUGAUCUGCCCAUCAGACGGGGACAACGAUUGGAAACGAUCGCUAAUACCGGAUAGGACGAAAGUUUAAAGGUGCUUCUGGCACCGCUGAUGGAUGAGCCUGCGGCGCAUUAGCUAGUUGGUAGGGUAAAGGCCUACCAAGGCGACGAUGCGUAGCCGACCUGAGAGGGUGAACGGCCACACUGGGACUGAGACACGGCCCAGACUCCUACGGGAGGCAGCAGUAGGGAAUCUUCGGCAAUGGGCGAAAGCCUGACCGAGCAACGCCGCGUGAAUGAUGAAGGCCUUCGGGUU
rnacentral:rRNA from 1 species